GGGUUGUUAGCUCAGUUGACUCUUUUAAAAACAACAGGCAGUUGGCUUUACUUUUUUAACCAAUUGGUCGAAGGUUCGAAUCCUUCACGGCCCACCA
rnacentral:tRNA from 1 species